AUGGUCGUCGCAGAGAUGG
rnacentral:siRNA from 1 species